AUUUGCUACAUCAGAAAACGUCCUGAAACAACACAGCUGAAGCUACAGGAUAAAGUUUAAUGAUUUUAGAAUCAGAAUGGCGUUGUCAGAAUCUGUUAUUGUAAUGAUUUGGAUCAACGUCCGCGUCUGCCUCCCCUUUACUGUCCUGCUCAUCGCUUUGUGCUGCAUGGUGAGACUGGAUCAUGGUCCUGUCGCCUACUACAUCAACCUGCUCUUCUUUAAUCUGAUUCAGCUCAUCUUUCUGGUUGCUCAGACUCUGGAUCUUCCUUAUU